rnacentral:tRNA from 1 species
UGCGGCUGGAACACCUCCUUUCUAGAGACUAUAAAAAGAUAUAGGUAUCUUACUCUCGCUGUUAAUUCAAAAAAAAGAAAAGGCUUAAAAUACAGAGUCUCGUAGCUCAGCUGGUUAGAGUACUACACUGAUAAUGUAGGGGUCGGCAGUUCGAGUCUGCCCGGGACUACUUUUUAAAGCUAUAAGGAAAUUUUAGAGGUUGAGUGGCCGUUAGAAGUACUGUUAACUGAUAACUGUUAACUGACAACUACUAAAACGGGGGAUUAGCUCAGCUGGCUAGAGCGCCUGCCUUGCACGCAGGAGGUCAUCGGUUCGACUCCGAUAUUCUCCACGAAUCUAGCAAUAGAUAAAAGUUCAUUGACAUAUUGAGAUAAACAUACAAACAAGUAGAAAGAACACGAAUUAAUACAGCGCACAGCGUAUUAAUUUAUAAAGAUAUUUACUAGCGAUAGUAAAAAAGAAAACAAUAAGCAAAAUAAGGGCGUAUGGGGGAUGCCUAG